rnacentral:rRNA from 1 species
UCCAGACUCCUACGGGAGGCAGCAGUGGGGGAUAUUGGACAAUGGGGGAAACCCUGAUCCAGCGACGCCGCGUGAGUGAAGAAGUAUUUCGGUAUGUAAAGCUCUGUCAGCAGGGAAGAAAGAAAUGACGGUACCUGACCAAGAAGCCCCGGCUAACUACGUGCCAGCAGCCGCGGUAAUACGUAGGGGGCAAGCGUUAUCCGGAAUUACUGGGUGUAAAGGGAGCGUAGACGGUGAUGCAAGUCUGGAGUGAAAUCCCGGGGCUUAACCCCGGAACUGCUUUGGAAACUGUGCGGCUGGAGUGCAGGAGGGGUAAGCGGAAUUCCUAGUGUAGCGGUGAAAUGCGUAGAUAUUAGGAGGAACACCGGUGGCGAAGGCGGCUUACUGGACCGUAACUGACGUUGAGGCUCGAAAGCGUGGGGAGCAAACAGGAUUAGAUACCCCCGUAUCU